CUAAAACACUAGCCCACACCCUAAAAAUCUUACCUUUAUUAAACCCUCCCAAAAUAUUUUUUUGUUAAGUAAAGACGAUCGAAAAAUUAUCUGGCGCAAUAACAACGUACCGCAAGGGAAAGUUGAAAUAAAAUGAAAAUUCAAGCACAAAAAAGUAAAGCCUAUCCCUUGUACCUUUUGCAUCAUGAUUUAAUUAGUCAAUUUACGCAAAAUGUUUUCAAGUCUAAUUUCCCGAAGCUAAGUGAGCUACUCUAGGACAGCUUUUUGAGCAAACCCGUCUCUGUUGCAAAAGAGUGGGGAGAUCCUAAAGUAGAGGUGCCAAACCUAACGAACUUAGCGAUAGCUGGUUAUUCAGGAAAAGAAUUUAAGUUCACCCUAAAGCUAUCACAUUUUUCCAAAAAACCCCCUUAACUUUAGAGCUACUCAAAUAAGGUACAGCUUAUUUGAACCUGGACACAACCUACUCCAAUGGGUACCUCACGGACUUUCACAACUAAGUAGGCCUAAAAGCAGCCACCUUAAAAAAGCGUCAAAGCUUGCCUGUCCCCUCCCCUAAUUCCCCUAGUCUUAACUAACCCUUCAACUUUACUGAAUACUUCUAUAUCUAUAUGGAACCUUUUAUGUUAAAACUAGUAACAAGAAGAAGACCUUCUCUUCAAUGCAAGCUUAAGUCUAAAAAGACCCUAACGACAAUUAAUAGAUUACAAUAGUAACUUCACUAGAAAACCCUAUAUCCCAUUCUAUUAACCUAACACAAGAGCAUCAAAAGAAAGAUUAAAAGAAAAAGAAGGAACUCGGCAAAUAUUGACCCCGCCUGUUUACCAAAAACAUCGCCUCCCGAAACCAUGGGAGGUCCAGCCUGCCCAGUGACCCCUGUUCAACGGCCGCGGUAUCCUAACCGUGCGAAGGUAGCGUAAUCACUUGUCUUUUAAAUAAAGACUAGUAUGAAAGGCAUCACGAAGGUCUAACUGUCUCCUUUUUCCAAUCAAUGAAACUAAUCUCCUCGUGAAGAAGCGAGGAUAGACCUAUUAGACGAGAAGACCCUAUGGAGCUUUAAACACAGUAAUUCAUGCUUUCAAUUUUCCCUUCCAGAACACUCUCCCUCACAGCAUACCAAUUAUAAGUUUUAGGUUGGGACGACCACGGAGAAAAACCUAUCCUCCAUGUUGAACUAGACUUUACCCUAAUCAACAAGUUACGACUUUAUGAAUCAAUAAAUUGACCUCCAUUGACCCAAUUCAUUUGAUCAACGAACCAAGUUACCCUAGGGAUAACAGCGCAAUCCGCUUCAAGAGCCCCUAUCGACAAGCGGGUUUACGACCUCGAUGUUGGAUCAGGGUGUCCUAGUGGUGCAGCCGCUACUAAGGGUUCGUUUGUUCAACGAUUAAAACCCCACGUGAUCUGAGUUCAGACCGGAGUAAUCCAGGUCAGUUUCUAUCUAUAGACUUAGGGCUUUUUCCAGUACGAAAGGACCAAAAAAGCAUGGCCUAUUUUAAACAAAGCCAUUAUUAAUUAUUUUUGACCCCCUUAAAAAAUAACUAACCUUCUUUUUUCUCAAGAAAAGAGUA
rnacentral:rRNA from 1 species